rnacentral:lncRNA from 1 species
CUUAUUUAACACCUCAUGUAUUUCAUGGGUGCUACUUUAUUAAAUUAGAAAAAAGAAAAGAAGAAAAAAUAAAACAAGAGUUGUAAAUCUCUUGUUAAAGAAUGAAUGAUCUAUAGAUCAAAGCUUAACUCCACCAUGUGUUGAAGGAAGUUGGGUAUGCACACAUUGGUUAGUUGGGAACCAAAGAAGCAAUGGAGAGGCAAUUGCUGGCAGUAACACUAGCAAAACUGAAGGGUUCAACCUUGAAAUUAGAUAAUUGCAUAUCCACAAUCUUACUUUCAGCAGUUGAAACAUCAGCCAAUGCACCACUUAGAAGGAUAGUUACUUUCCCAUAGUUUUUAGCACGAAUUGCUUCCAAUGCUUUGUGAAGGUUAUCCAAAGCUUUACUAUAAUUUUCCUUGCAUUCAUUCAGUGAUUCAUCAUUCUCACCCGACUCUUUAGCUUGCUUCUCAAUCUUUUCUACAAUAUCCUUAAUGUUUUCUUUCGAAACUUUUAUGGAAGCUUCAAGAAUACGAACAACAUCAAACUUCUUCUUGUUCUUGAUCAAGGGUGAGAUUGUGGCAAGGCACACAUCGGGUUGGUGUGUGUGGCCACAUAUCUUUUCAAGGUCUGGGUUGUAUUCAGCUUUUGAUUGGUCACCAUAUUUUUCUUUGAGGUAAUCCGAGAUAGAGACAGUGGAGGGUGAAGAGUAACCAGAGGCACCACCAUCUGGUGUUGGAGCUGGUGAAUCAGAAGGGGGAUCCAUGGAUGGAGUGUCAGAGAAUUGGUCACUUGGUGAUGAUGAUGGUGUUGUUGUUUCUGAUGUUGUUGGUGAUGAUGCUGGUGGUGUUGUUGUUUCUGAUGUUGUUGGUGAUGAUGCUGGUGGUGUUGUUGUUUCUGAUGUUGUUGGUGAUGAUGCUGCGUGAGAAAUGUUUUCUCAGGCGAAGGGUAGAGUCAAACAAAGGAUUUAGGGGUCCUAGAUUUCAAGAAAGAAGCAUCAUAUGUGCUUGUAAUUGAAUUGGUUUGUGUAUUCAUACUUUAACUCAAUAUUGUGAAGAAGAAAAUCUCCCUAGAUCAGAAUGAGAGGUCUGGAUGUAGUUUUUAGUGGACCACAAACGAACCAGGAUAAAAAUCGUUUUGUGCACUCUUUUUCUCUCUGAAUCUUCUUUAAAGUUUCUUGCUGUUAUAAAUUGAAUCUGCAACUAAUAUUCUGAAUAUUUGUUUACUGUCAUAUGCUUAUUAUUUGUGUGUAAAAAUAUAUGUAUUAUCUCUGUUCAAUUGUGUUUAAAUAACUGUGCAAUCUGCCUAUCUGAUCAUUCUGUUUUGUGCAUUAGUUAAUCGAUUAAGGCGUGUUGUUAAUCGAUUAAUUGUGUUGUUUCCAACAGUUGAGUUUUGGUUCAAGAAGCGGUGAUUAAUAACCGUUACACCUAUUCAACUCUCCCCCUUCUAGGUGUUCCUAGGCCACUGAUACCGAACAGAAGUUCCUUCACACCCCAAAAAUUAAAAAUCUAAACUUUUAAGUUGAUUGAGAGAUAGAAUGACAUAUCAAUAAUUAAAAAUAAGAACACAACUUCUACCAUAUAUUUGUAGCAUAAUUAUCAAGUUUUACAAAUAAAAAAUUAGACAAAAUUAAUAAUAUAAUAAGGGCAAUGAAGUUUUGCAUUGGACAAAAUCGAAUACCCAUAAUAUAAAAAUUAAACAAUUUGAAACUUCCAAACAAUAUAUAAAAAUGUGGAUAAAAUAUCAAUUUUAAUUUUAAUUGAAGUGCUUAUUUACUAUUGAAGUGAAUAUUCUCAAGAAAUUAAAUAAAGUAAAAUUUAAUUUGAUACUCUUGAAUUACAAUAGAUUUAUUAUAAUUUUGAUACUUCACAAUAAUAGAACAAGCUUAUAUGGAUAACAUCCAUUAUUGAAUUCAACAAUGGAAACAAUCCUUAUUGUUACAAUGAGUAUGAAUGACUUAUUUAACAUCUCGUGCAUUUCACGGAUGCUACUCUAGUAUUUAGUAAAAAUGAAAAGAAGAAGAAAAAUACAAAAAGUGGACAUUAAUCAAUAGUUAUAUAUCAUAUCUUGUUAAAGAAUGAAUGAUCUAUAGAUCAAAGCUUAACUCCACCAUGUGUUGAAGGAAGUUGGGUAUGCACACAUUGGUUAGUUGGGAACCAAAGAAGCAAUGGAGAGGCAAUUGCUGGCAGUAACACUAGCAAAACUGAAGGGUUCAACCUUGAAAUUAGAUAAUUGCAUAUCCACAAUCUUACUUUCAGCAGUUGAAACAUCAGCCAAUGCACCACUUAGAAGGAUAGUUACUUUCCCAUAGUUUUUAGCACGAAUUGCUUCCAAUGCUUUGUGAAGGUUAUCCAAAGCUU